UACGGAGGGUCCGAGCGUUGUCCGGAAUUAUUGGGCGUAAAGAGCGCGUAGGCGGUUUGUCGCGUCUGCUGUGAAAUCCCGAGGCUCAACCUCGGGUCUGCAGUGGGUACGGGCAGACUGGAGUGCGGUAGGGGAGAAUGGAAUUCCUGGUGUAGCGGUGGAAUGCGCAGAUAUCAGGAGGAACACCGAUGGCGAAGGCAGUUCUCUGGGCCGUAACUGACGCUGAGGCGCGAAAGCGUGGGGAGCGAACAGG
rnacentral:rRNA from 1 species